UACGUAGGGGCCGAGCGUUGUCCGGAGUUACUGGGCGUAAAGCGCGCGCAGGCGGCUCGUCAAGCCUGACGUGAAAGCCCCCGGCUCAACCGGGGAGGGUCGUCGGGGACUGGCGGGCUUGAGGUCGGCAGGGGUUGGUGGAAUUCCCGGUGUAGUGGUGAAAUGCGUAGAGAUCGGGAGGAACACCGGUGGCGAAGGCGGCAUCCUGGACCGGCAUUGACGCUGAGGCGCGAAAGCUAGGGGAGCAAACGGG
rnacentral:rRNA from 1 species